rnacentral:rRNA from 1 species
GACAGAGGGUGCAAGCGUUGUUCGGAAUCAUUGGGCGUAAAGGGCGCGUAGGCGGUUUUGUAAGUCGGAUGUGAAAGCCCAGGGCUUAACCUUGGAAGUGCAUCCGAAACUGUGAGACUUGAAUCCCGGAGAGGGUGGUGGAAUUCCCAGUGUAGAGGUGAAAUUCGUAGAUAUGGGGAGGAACACCGGUGGCGAAGGCGGCCACCUGGACGGUAACUGACGCUGAGACGCGAAAGCGUGGGGAGCAAACAGG